rnacentral:misc_RNA from 1 species
AUGCAUCAAAUCAACAGGGUUGCCUGUUGGUCUUGGAUAUUGAGGGUUGCUGGGUUUUGAUAGUCAGCUCCCUUUAAAUUCAUUAGCUUGGAAUAUAUUUGAGCCACUUUAGCUUAGGCUGAUAUGAAUACAAAGUAUUAGUUGCUUUUGCUGGAGUGUUGCUUGUCUGGGCUUAUAAUUGUCUUUAAGACUGUCAGUUUGACAUUUUACAUCCUGA